GAUGAAGAACGUAGUGAAAUGCGAUAAGUAAUGUGAAUUGCAGAAUUCAGUGAAUCAUCGAAUCUUUGAACGCACAUUGCGCCCGCGAGUAUUCUCGCGGGCAUGCCUGUCCGAGCGUCAUUUCAACCCUCAGGGCCCGCCUGCUUGCAGGCGCGGCGCUGGUGUUGGGGAUCGGCUACCCUGCCGUCCCCCAAAUACAGUGGCGGUCUCGCUGCAGCCUCCCCUGCGUAGUAGCAACACUCGCAUGCGGAGCGCGGCGCGGCCACGCCGUAAAACCCCCGACUUUCUGAACGUUGACCUCGGAUCAGGUAGGAAUACCCGCUGAACUUAAGCAUAUCAAUAAGCGGAGGA
rnacentral:misc_RNA from 1 species